GGGCCUGCUUCAUACAUCGUGGGCUGUAGCUCACCUGUAUCGGUGUGUUUUAGAUGUGUCAGGUGAACAACAAUGAGACUGGAUCUAUUUUUGUCCUACGUGUGCCACAACCCGCACUGAACCCCCAUCAGCUGCAAGACAGCCACUGUUAGCAGCUCCGGCUCAGUCUCAAGGCUACGGGUAACGUUAGAGGUCCUGGUGAUGGAGGAUGGACAUGUUACAGCCAUUAUUGUGUCCUCAUAACCUCAUUUACCUUCAUCCUUUCCCUGCACUGGGACGGGGUCCUCUCAUAUCCGAGCUCCGACAAGGCUCUGGACACCCGCUCGUACAUGGCAGGACCGGGGGCCUUACCGGAGAACACGGUGCCCGCGACCUCCAGCUGCUGCAUCCUCGCCUCCGUCAGCCUCUCGUUGCCCCACACCGCGAUGAGGGCGUUCGUCUCGGAUGGGGUCCACGACAUCCCUCGGCAAGCCGUGAAGCUGUUGGAGGAGGAUGAGGCCGCCGUGCGGCCCGCGGUCCCUGAGCCCACGUUCAAAGGCGAGAAGCGGUUAGGUGUCGAGGGAUUGGAGUGAUAUUGAUUACUGUCACUCAAAUCCUCAGACUCAGGUGAUGGCAACUCGGUUUUCGGUAUCUUUAACGGCGUCGAUAUCUCUGGAGAAUGCUCCGCGUUACUGGACGCCGCCAUGUUGCCUCUGUUGCUAAGGGGAGGGGGAGGGAAGGUGACGUUCGGGGCUUGACGGUGGCAGGGAGAAAAAUACGGCGUGGACACUAGAGUUUCCAAGGUGGAUCCGGGAAUUUGCUUUCAGGUGAGCGUCAGCGGCCAGAGAACAUGAUAUGGAGAGGGCAGAGGAGAGUAACGACAGCUUGUGAGAAGUACUGGUACGCCAAAGAGUAAAAUGUUGAGGUGCCGGUACUGCGUACCGGUGCGUACCAGCCCACUUCAAGCGCUGCUGGAAAGCGAUUUUAAAAUCUUGAUGACUCAUCCUGCACUCAGGGCGUGUAAUUUAACAUCCAAUAAAAAGCUUUCUCAAUUUUUUGACGCUA